rnacentral:rRNA from 1 species
AUGAAUCAUGAAGAAUGGGCUGAUCCUUGGUUUUCCGGAAGGCCGCAAGCGCCACCUUGGGAUGCAAUAGAGUACAAUCAACUCAUUUCCGCAGGACCAUUGCUGCCACUACUAGAGCAAUACACGAGCAUAGGUUCUUAUGACACAACCACACAGGCAGAGAUACCAUGGCAAGUUGCAACACAGGGGGCUAUCGGUGAUAGAUAUGCGGGAGACCAACUUCAAGUAGCAAAUGUGGCAAAUCAAGGACCAUCGUGCAACACAUUGCAACCGGAUACCUGCCAUCAACGUCUUACACAGGUUCUUAUGGUACAACCACACCAGCAGAGGUUUCGUGGCAAGAUGCACCAUUGCAGGCCAUCGGUAAUGCAGAUACAACACACCAACUUGAAGUGGCACACCAACUUCGAUUGGCACAUGUGGCACAACAAGGCACUUUGUGAACCAGGAAAACUCGUGCGUUUGCUUUAUGGAAAAACAUUGGGAAAUUGCACUUGA